rnacentral:rRNA from 1 species
UACGUAGGUUGCGAGCGUUGUCCGGAAUUAUUGGGCGUAAAGAGCUCGUAGGCGGUCUGUCGCGUCGAAUGUGAAAACCCGGGGCUCAACUCCGGGCUUGCAUUCGAUACGGGCAGGCUAGAGUUCGGUAGGGGAGUCUGGAAUUCCUGGUGUAGCGGUGAAAUGCGCAGAUAUCAGGAGGAACACCGGUGGCGAAGGCGGGACUCUGGGCCGAUACUGACGCUGAGGAGCGAAAGCGUGGGGAGCGAACAGG